rnacentral:rRNA from 1 species
AUUGAACGCUGGCGGCAGGCCUAACACAUGCAAGUCGAGCGAGCGGCGGACGGGUGAGAAAUGUAUGGGGACUGCCCGAUAGAGGGGGAUAACUACUGGAAACGGUGGCUAAUACCGCAUACUAUCGGAUAACCCAUAUGGGAUUAGCUAGUAGGUGGGGUAAAGCCUAACCUAGGCGACGAUCGCUAGCUGGUCUGAGAGGAUGGUCGCCGACACGGGGACUGAGACACGGCCCAGAGUCCUGCGGAGGCAGCAGUGGGGAAUAUGGCACAAUGGGCGCAAGCCUGAUGCAGCCAUGCCGCGUGUAUGAAGAAGGCCUUAGGGUUGGAAAGUACUUUCAGCGGGGAGGCGUUAGCCGCAGAAGAAGCACCGGCUAACUCCGUGCCAGCAGCCGCGGUAAUUC